rnacentral:sRNA from 1 species
AUUUGACUCUCCAAUAGUGAUUGCCACCCAUAAGUUGUUCAGGAAAUGUUGAAUCAAUGAAUGAGAGUGGGGCAUAAAAUGGGAAAUUUGAGCACACAGAACUUUCAUUUAACCUACUUCACUAUUUGACUAUGGUGUGGCCUUGCUUUUAAUUGGAGGAUAGCUGGAGUUGCAAUCAGUAUUCAUGAAAGCAUGUUUUAAAAAAAAUGAGAAUCAGUCUAACAGAAUCUGAACUUUAAAAAACAUCUCAUUACUGAUUAUACAUGGUGACGAUAUUUUCCAAAUCGUGGAGCUUCUACUGGGAAAAGUCUUCAGGAACCAGUAUUACUGUGGACAUCGCCGUCAUGGGCGAGGCCCACGGCCUCAUUACCGACCUCCUGGCAGACCCUUCUCUUCCACCAAACGUGUGCACAUCCUUGAGAGCCGUGAGCAACUUGCUCAGCACACAGCUCACCUUCCAGGCCAUUCACAAGCCCAGAGUGAAUCCCGUCACUUCGCUCAGUGAAAACUAUACCUGUUCUGACUCUGAAGAGAGCUCUGAAAAAGACAAGCUUGCUAUUCCAAAGCGCCUGAGAAGGAGUUUGCCUCCUGGCUUGUUGAGACGAGUUUCUUCCACUUGGACCACCACCACCUCGGCCACAGGUCUACCCACCUUGGAGCCUGCACCAGUACGGAGAGACCGCAGCACAAGCAUCAAACUGCAGGAAGCACCUUCAUCCAGUCCUGAUUCUUGGAAUAAUCCAGUGAUGAUGACCCUCACCAAAAGCAGAUCCUUUACUUCAUCCUAUGCUAUUUCUGCAGCUAACCAUGUAAAGGCUAAAAAGCAAAGUCGACCAGGUGCCCUCGCUAAAAUUUCACCUCUUUCAUCGCCCUGCUCCUCACCUCUCCAAGGGACUCCUGCCAGCAGCCUGGUCAGCAAAAUUUCUGCAGUGCAGUUUCCAGAAUCUGCUGACACAACUGCCAAACAAAGCCUAGGUUCUCACAGGGCCUUAACUUACACUCAGAGUGCCCCAGACCUAUCCCCUCAAAUCCUGACUCCACCUGUUAUAUGUAGCAGCUGUGGCAGACCAUAUUCCCAAGGGAAUCCUGCUGAUGAGCCCCUGGAGAGAAGUGGGGUAGCCACUCGGACACCAAGUAGAACAGAUGACACUGCUCAAGUUACCUCUGAUUAUGAAACCAAUAACAACAGUGACAGCAGUGACAUUGUACAGAAUGAAGAUGAAACAGAGUGCCUGAGAGAGCCUCUGAGGAAAGCAUCGGCUUGCAGCACCUAUGCUCCUGAGACCAUGAUGUUUCUGGACAAACCAAUUCUUGCUCCCGAACCUCUUGUCAUGGAUAACCUGGACUCAAUUAUGGAGCAGCUAAAUACUUGGAAUUUUCCAAUUUUUGAUUUAGUGGAAAAUAUAGGAAGAAAAUGUGGCCGUAUUCUUAGUCAGGUAUCUUACAGACUUUUUGAAGACAUGGGCCUCUUUGAAGCUUUUAAAAUUCCAAUUAGGGAAUUUAUGAAUUAUUUUCAUGCUUUGGAGAUUGGAUAUAGGGAUAUUCCUUAUCAUAACAGAAUCCAUGCCACUGAUGUUUUACAUGCUGUUUGGUAUCUUACUACACAGCCUAUUCCAGGCCUCUCAACUGUGAUUAAUGAUCAUGGUUCAACCAGUGAUUCAGAUUCUGACAGUGGAUUUACACAUGGACAUAUGGGAUAUGUAUUCUCAAAAACAUAUAAUGUGACAGAUGAUAAAUACGGAUGUCUGUCUGGGAAUAUCCCUGCCUUGGAGUUGAUGGCGCUGUAUGUGGCUGCAGCCAUGCACGAUUAUGAUCAUCCAGGAAGGACUAAUGCUUUCCUGGUUGCAACUAGUGCUCCUCAGGCGGUGCUAUAUAAUGAUCGUUCAGUUUUGGAGAAUCAUCACGCAGCUGCUGCAUGGAAUCUUUUCAUGUCCCGGCCAGAGUAUAACUUCUUAGUUAACCUUGACCAUGUGGAAUUUAAGCAUUUCCGUUUCCUUGUCAUUGAAGCAAUUUUGGCCACUGACCUGAAGAAACACUUUGACUUCGUAGCCAAAUUUAAUGGCAAGGUAAAUGAUGAUGUUGGAAUAGAUUGGACCAAUGAAAAUGAUCGUCUACUGGUUUGUCAAAUGUGUAUAAAGUUGGCUGAUAUCAAUGGUCCAGCUAAAUGUAAAGAACUCCAUCUUCAGUGGACAGAUGGUAUUGUCAAUGAAUUUUACGAACAGGGUGAUGAAGAGGCCAGCCUUGGAUUACCCAUAAGCCCCUUCAUGGAUCGUUCUGCUCCUCAGCUGGCCAACCUUCAGGAAUCCUUCAUCUCUCACAUUGUGGGGCCUCUGUGCAACUCCUAUGAUUCAGCAGGACUAAUGCCAGGAAAAUGGGUGGAAGACAGCGAUGAGUCAGGAGAUACUGAUGACCCAGAAGAAGAGGAGGAAGAAGCAGCAGCACCAAAUGAAGAGGAAACCUGUGAAAAUAAUGAAUCUCCAAAAAAGAAGACUUUCAAAAGGAGAAAAAUCUACUGCCAAAUAACUCAGCACCUCUUACAGAACCACAAGAUGUGGAAGAAAGUCAUUGAAGAGGAGCAACGGUUGGCAGGCAUAGAAAAUCAAUCCCUGGACCAGACCCCUCAGUCGCACUCUUCAGAACAGAUCCAGGCUAUCAAGGAAGAAGAAGAAGAGAAAGGGAAACCAAGAGGCGAGGAGAUACCAACCCAAAAGCCAGACCAGUGACAAUGGAUAGAAUGGGCUGUGUUUCCAAACAGAUUGACUUGUCAAAGACUCUCUUCAAGCCAGCACAACAUUUAGACACAACACUGUAGAAAUUUGAGAUGGGCAAAUGGCUAUUGCAUUUUGGGAUUCUUCGCAUUUUGUGUGUAUAUUUUUACAGUGAGGUACAUUGUUAAAAACUUUUUGCUCAAAGAAGCUUUCACAUUGCAACACCAGCUUCUAAGGAUUUUUUAAGGAGGGAAUAUAUAU